rnacentral:lncRNA from 1 species
UCUUUCUUUGGGUCUCACAUUUUUCACCAAUUCGGUCCUUAAGUUACUUAAGGUCUUUUAGUUUUACUUUGCAUGUCUCUAAAUUGAGGCUGAUAAUCUUUGCCUCACAUAAAUCGGGUGGAAAUGCUUGGUAAGUACGAAGCAUUUCACAAAGGUCAGGGUUCAUCUUCAUGGCUGCUAUUAGAAAUGGAUCUGACAGCUGCGUCCCCUGCACGCUCAUCCCAGAGUCUCCAUUGGGCCCAUUCUCUGUCUGGAUCUGUACAGAGCCCUGCACCAACGACUGAGUCCCCAGCAGGUCCAAGGUGUGGCUCCAGCAGGUCCUGUGGCUGAGGCAGCCCAGGUGUCUUCAUCCAGGAAUUCCAGGAGUCCAUGUGAUUCCUCCCCCGAAUAAGAAUGCCUCCCUCCUGGGUCACACACCCUGCUGGAGUUCUGUUCCCACAGCCUUUCCUGUGGUCCACAGAAGGGAGUGUCCAGGUCUCAUAGUAAGCCAGUUAGUGGUAUGAGAGCAAAUCAGUGAAGAAGCCAUCACCAGAGUGUGGGCUGAGUGAGCCCAGGGCCACCCAAAUACAGUUGCUGCACUCUGGAGUAAAAUAGAAAAUGAUCUGGUGGUCUUUGUAGUUGGUGUGAGUGGAGAAAUAGGUUCUGAGCCUGGACAAAGCUAACUGGCUUCUGCCCAGUAGAAUACAGCCAGGGGACAGGAUAGUAAGGGGGUGUUACGAACACUGGAAUGCCAAUAAAUAUGACAACCUAGAUGAAAUGGACGAACUCCUUGAAAAACACAGAGGACCAAAGCUUGCUCAGUAAGAAAUAGAUAACCUGGGCUGGGUGCAGUGGCUCAUGCCUAUAAUCA